rnacentral:rRNA from 1 species
AUUGAACGCUGGCGGCAUGCUUUACACAUGCAAGUCGAACGGUAACAGGCCGCAAGGUGCUGACGAGUGGCGAACGGGUGAGUAAUGCAUCGGACCGUGCCCAGUCGUGGGGGAUAACGCAGCGAAAGCUGUGCUAAUACCGCAUACGAUCUAUGGAUGAAAGCGGGGACCGUAAGGCCUCGCGCGAUUGGAGCGGCCGAUGUCAGAUUAGCUAGUUGGUGGGGUAAAGGCCCACCAAGGCGACGAUCUGUAGCUGGUCUGAGAGGACGACCAGCCACACUGGGACUGAGACACGGCCCAGACUCCUACGGGAGGCAGCAGUGGGGAAUUUUGGACAAUGGGCGCAAGCCUGAUCCAGCAAUGCCGCGCGCAGGAAGAAGGCCUUCGGGUCGUAAACUGCUUUUGUACGGAACGAAACGGUCUGGGUUAAUACCCUGGGCUAAUGACGGUACCGUAAGAAUAAGCACCGGCUAACUACGUGCCAGCCGCCGCGGUAA